GGCUGUGAGGGUGAUCUGGCUGUGACAUGUCACCCCAUUGAUCGCCAGGGUUGAUUUGGCUGAUGUGGCUGGCUAGGUGGGUGUCCCCUUCCUCCCUCACCGCCCCAUGUGCAUCCCUCCUGAAGCUGCAUGUUCAGUGGAAGAGGAUGGACUUCCCUAGAGAUGGGCUGAUCUUUGGUUGAGGGUAUAUGAGUAGCUGCGCUCUCCUGCUAGAACCUUCAAACGAGCUCUCAAGAGGUAUAGGUUUAAGUUAGAAAGGAACAGAAGGCAGGACUAUAGAAAAAUGUGGACACACUUC
rnacentral:snRNA from 1 species